rnacentral:rRNA from 1 species
UACGUAGGGUGCGAGCGUUAAUCGGAAUUACUGGGCGUAAAGCGUGCGCAGGCGGUUUGCUAAGACCGAUGUGAAAUCCCCGGGCUUAACCUGGGAACUGCAUUUGUGACUGCAUCGCUGGAGUACGGCAGAGGGGGAUGGAAUUCCGCGUGUAGCAGUGAAAUGCGUAGAUAUGCGGAGGAACACCGAUGGCGAAGGCAAUCCCCUGGGCCUGUACUGACGCUCAUGCACGAAAGCGUGGGGAGCAAACAGG